UUUUUUUAUUAGCACUCACAAACAAAAGAAAUAAAUUGAAUUCAUAUACACUGAAAAUCUAAAAAGUUUUAUGCUAUUAGUGUAUUGUAACAUGUUAGUAGUAGAUAAUAUGUCUUAUUUUUCAGGUUACUGUUUUCUCUCUUUAUAGAUGGUUUGUAUACAUACAAAAACAGACGCACAAUAUGGGUCGAGGGAUCACCGGCACCCGGAAACUUCGAUGAAAACUUCAUCUAUACUAGUUAAUGUCUUAAAAAAAUAGUCAGAUAUUAGCAAAUGCCCCGUACCAAUCUUUAUGAACAGUGAUAAAUUUAUAUCAACUGUCAUGGUGCCAGCGACCACCGAAUCUUGGGUCCUAUAUAUAGUUACAUUUUAGGUGAUUUAUAGUAUAAAAAAUUCUUUUACAUAAUCAUUGUAUAGAUGUUAAAACACACAAAAAUAUGGAACUAAUUAAAUAGUGUCUUUUCUACAAAAGCAAGAAAUUUUACAGAGCUUUACACCAAGAGGGUGCAAUGCAAAAACAUGUGCAAUUUAAAUAGUGUCUUAAUCUUAAAUGGAACUUGCAGCAAGCAAUAUACGUGUGAUAUAUUAGAUAGUUCUCCCGUUAAUGUCUUGAUAAGAAUAUAAGGUUUUAAAAGACCUGAUUGAGAUCUAUGGGAUAAAGAUUGUCCAUUCUUAUGCAAAUCAUUCGAAAGUCAUCCAUUUUUUCGAUUUGUUGUUUUGCACGUGGUAACUAGAGUGGAAUUGUUAAGAAGAUCCAAAAAACUUAAAUUGGUCAAGUGACCGCCUAUUUCCUUUCUUAAUUUCUUUUUGGGUUAAAAAAUAACUAAAUCAGUGGGUUAAGGUGGUUGGGCACUUUUAAACAUUUUGCAAAACUUGUGGGUCACCUAUAAAGUUUGAAAAACAAGCUUUCUUUCUAAUUUUUCCGCCAUUUUCUCUUUCAUCUCUCUACUCUCUCUUCUCUCUCACUCAAUCCCCUCGACCACGAUGGUUUCUGGCGGGAAGGGACAAGAAUCAAGCUUUGAUUUUGGGUGGAAUCGUCUCUAUAGACCUAACAAGCACUAUAUUAUUAUUCAGAACGUGUCAAUUUUGGUAACAUGAGGAAGAAAUCAAUUGCUAAGAAGCAUAUUCCUUUAGCAUGUGCACUACAUGGGAUAAGAUCAAUGAGGCUGCCAGUAAAGAGGAAAAGGAUUUGGACUUUUGUGAGACAGUUGAUGCUUGCCAAGACUUGUGCCUUACACCCCUAAUGCAAUAUCCUCAAAGAAGUAUGCCAUAACCUGGGGUUGUGGAGUGGUGCAAGGCUAAGAUGUUGUAUAGUGUAUGGCAAAUUGAUAAAAAGUAUUUUGUGCCUGUUGUUUUUCACUUGGCAGAGGUUUUGAUUCGAAUUUACAAUAGCAAUGUCAGUUUGUAUGAUGAUGGUAAACUAGAAGAACUUUCCCCUCACACUCAUGAUGCCUAGUAUUUUGAUAAAAACUGGCCAGUUUACAGACUUAGGCCAAGAUGUGCUUACGAAGAAAUAGUCCCGGGAGCAUAUUAUGGAUGUGUCAUCCAUUCAGCAUACGUAAACUAAUGUGUCAUCCAUUAUGUUUUACUCAUUCUUGUGGUUUCUUUAAUAAUUAAUUAUGUCUUUGAUUAUUAUAGUGAAAGUAGUGGAGCAUAUGUAGUGAAGGUUAUUGACUUCCUCCUAACUGAUAUGUCGCUAGUGUAGCUUAAUGACAAGCGAAUGGAGUUGUUUAGGAAAAAAAUUGCAGUGGAUAUCUUCAGGGGAAGGAUAAACCCUUCUUAGUUUUAUUAGUGUAAUUUAUGUUUGUGUUGGUCAUGGGACAAAUUUAUUUUGGACAAACUUGUAGUAAUUUGUGAUAUUUGCAUCUACCUCUAUGUAAUGAAAUUAUCUUUUUCCGAUUAACGAUUGAUGUUGUACUAAUAGACAAUGUAUCUAGUAAUAAACUAGCUAGUAGCUACUUGGUUCCGUAAUAGAUAUUGAGUCCAUCAAUAAGCUUGCUACUUGGUUGCGUAAUAGACUCAAAGUCGCGUGUAAUAACUUCAUCAAAUAUUACAUUACAUCAGUACAAUAUUACAUGAUCCAAAAGACUUC